UACGUAGGGACCGAGCGUUGUCCGGAAUCAUUGGGCGUAAAGAGCGUGUAGGCGGCCACUUAAGUCCUGCGUGAAAUCUUGCGGCUCAACCGCAAGCGGUCGUGGGAAACUGGGUGGCUAGAGUGCGGGAGAGGAGAGUGGAAUUCCUGGUGUAGCGGUGGAAUGCGCAGAUAUCAGGAAGAACACCCGUGGCGAAGGCGGCUCUCUGGAACGCAAACUGACGCUGAGACGCGAAAAGCGUGGGGGAGCAAAACAGG
rnacentral:rRNA from 1 species